rnacentral:rRNA from 1 species
GACGAACGCUGGCGGCGUGCUUAACACAUGCAAGUCGAACGGAAAGGCCCUGCUUUUGUUGCUUGCGCGAGUGGCGAACGGGUGAGUAGCACGUAAGUAACCUUCCCUUUCCUUUGAGCUACCUUCAGGAGACUCUGAUUAAUACCAGGAAUGAGCUCCUCCUGCAUGGUGUGGGUUAGAAUGUUUGGGUGGUUGGGGAUGGACUCGCGGCUUAUCAGCUGGUUGGGGGGUUAGUGGCUUACCAAGGCUUUGACGGGUAGCCGGCCUGAGAGGGUGACCGGCCACAUGGGGACUGGGAUACGGCCCAGACUCCUCCGGGAGGCAGCAGUGGGGAAUAUUGAACAAUGGGCGGAGGCCGGAGGAAGCAACGCCGCGUGCGGGAUGACGGCCUUGGGGUGGUAACCCGCUUUCGCAUGUGACGAAGCGGGAGUGACGGUACUGGGUAAAGAAGCACCGGCUAACUACGUG